GGGAAUCUACCGCGCCCUGCGGAAUAGCUCCGGGAAACUGGAAUUAAUACCGCAUACGCCCUACGGGGGAAAGAUUUAUCGGGGUAUGAUGAGCCCGCGUUGGAUUAGCUAGUUGGUGGGGUAAAGGCCUACCAAGGCGACGAUCCAUAGCUGGUCUGAGAGGAUGAUCAGCCACAUUGGGACUGAGACACGGCCCAAACUCCUACGGGAGGCAGCAGUGGGGAAUAUUGGACAAUGGGCGCAAGCCUGAUCCAGCCAUGCCGCGUGAGUGAUGAAGGCCUUAGGGUUGUAAAGCUCUUUCACCGGUGAAGAUAAUGACGGUAACCGGAGAAGAAGCCCCGGCUAACUUCGUGCCAGCAGCCGCGGUAAUACGAAGGGGGCUAGCGUUGUUCGGAAUUACUGGGCGUAAAGCGCACGUAGGCGGAUAUUUAAGUCAGGGGUGAAAUCCCAGAGCUCAACUCUGGAACUGCCUUUGAUACUGGGUAUCUUGAGUAUGGAAGAGGUAAGUGGAAUUGCGAGU
rnacentral:rRNA from 1 species